GGGUCAGUAGGUUGGUCGUGCCACCGGUACGUACUGGUCUCACUGAUUCCUCAUUCCUGAAGAACCGUAAUGCCAUUAAUUUGGUGUUGCGGGGAAACAGGACUGUUACUUUGAAAAAAUUAGAGUGUUUAAAGCAAGCUAACGCUUGAAUACAUUAGCAUGUAAUAAUGAAAUAGGACGAUCGAUCCUAUUUUGUUGGUUUCUAGGAUUGACGUA
rnacentral:rRNA from 1 species